rnacentral:rRNA from 1 species
GUGGGGAAUUUUGGACAAUGGGCGCAAGCCUGAUCCAGCCAUUCCGCGUGCAGGAUGAAGGCCUUCGGGUUGUAAACUGCUUUUGUACGGAACGAAAAGCCUCUGGUUAAUACCCGGGGGUCAUGACGGUACCGUAAGAAUAAGCACCGGCUAACUACGUGCCAGCAGCCGCGGUAAUACGUAGGGUGCAAGCGUUAAUCGGAAUUACUGGGCGUAAAGCGUGCGCAGGCGGUUGUGUAAGACAGGCGUGAAAUCCCCGGGCUCAACCUGGGAAUUGCGCUUGUGACUGCACAGCUGGAGUGCGGCAGAGGGGGAUGGAAUUCCGCGUGUAGCAGUGAAAUGCGUAGAUAUGCGGAGGAACACCGAUGGCGAAGGCAAUCCCCUGGGCCUGCACUGACGCUCAUGCACGAAAGCGUGGGGAGCAAACAGGAUUAGAUACCCUUGUAGUCC